rnacentral:rRNA from 1 species
GACGAACGCUGGCGGCGUGCUUAACACAUGCAAGUCGAACGAAGAGUGAUGGAAGCUUGCUUCUAUCGAUCUUAGUGGCGAACGGGUGAGUAACGCGUAAUCAACCUGCCCUUCAGAGGGGGACAACAGUUGGAAACGACUGCUAAUACCGCAUACGAUCUAAUCUCGGCAUCGAGGAUGGAUGAAAGGUGGCCUCUAUUUAUAAGCUAUCACUGAAGGAGGGGAUUGCGUCUGAUUAGCUAGUUGGAGGGGUAACGGCCCACCAAGGCGAUGAUCAGUAGCCGGUCUGAGAGGAUGAACGGCCACAUUGGGACUGAGACACGGCCCAGACUCCUACGGGAGGCAGCAGUGGGGAAUCUUCCGCAAUGGACGAAAGUCUGACGGAGCAACGCCGCGUGAGUG